AUGAGGGAACAUGAAUGGUCAUUUGACGGAUUAGCUGUGGACAUCCCGACUUCAUUACGCCUCAAUAUUUCCUCCAAAGAAAGUACCGUGAGAUCUCUGCUGAAGGACUUCCACAUCCAGGUCCGUACCACCGCAAAUACAGGUGGAUGUGAGGAGAGGUUUUUAAAGACUGUCUCAAACCGCCUGUUGUUUCAAAGAAUCUCUCUAAAAGUGAAAGACUUCAGAGACAACUCGAAGCCCCUCCUUCUGCUCUUCUGCCCCAUAGUUUCCCGCAUGGGCACUGACAUCGAAAACGCCCUCGAGGGGAUCAGUGGUGAGCAGAAGGUCCUCCUGGUGGUGAUGCACUAUACACCGAAGGACAACCCAGGAACCCCUCUGGAGGCUAAGCACCGGGUGCCCCAUCCAGCCGUGGUGGGGACCGUGCACACCCGCUACACCCUUAAGGAUGGCUUCUAUGCUUGUGAGAUGAACGCGGUGGCCGUGGCUGACGUGGCAGCUGCCAUCAAGGCCCUCAGCGAGGGUCACUGAGGGGAGGGGACUCUGGUGUUUCGGGUGCCCUUCUUGCGUGAUGU
rnacentral:lncRNA from 1 species